CAAGUACUCCCUCCGUCCGGAAUUACUUGUCAUCAAAAUGGAUGUGUCUAGAACUAAAAUACAUCCAGAUACAUCCAUUUCAAUGACAAGUAUUUUCGGACGGAGGGAGUACAAG
rnacentral:pre_miRNA from 1 species